rnacentral:rRNA from 1 species
GACGAACGUUGGCGGCGUGCUUAAUACAUGCAAGUCCACUGAAGCAGUGGUAGCAAUCUCGCUGUGGAGGUGGCGCACGGGUGAGUAACACGUAGGUAAUCUGCCUUCAGGUCUGGCAUAACUCCGGGAAACCGGGGCUAAUAGCAGAUGAUGCAGCGGCUCGACAUCGAGACAGUUGUUAAAGCUAUGGCGCCUGAAGAUGAGCCUGCGUCUGAUUAGCUAGUUGGCGGGGUAACGGCCCACCAAGGCAACGAUCAGUAGCUGGUCUGAGAGGAUGAUCAGCAACACUGGAACUGAGACACGGUCCAGACUCCUACGGGAGGCAGCAGUAAGGAAUAUUGCUCAAUGGGAGAAAUCCUGAAGCAGCAACGCCGCGUGAGGGACGAAGGGCUUUUGCUUGUAAACCUCUGUAGUGAGAGAAAAAAAUCCCAAUCUUUGGGACAUGAUGGUAUCUCAAAAGUAAGCCCCGGCUAACUACGUG